rnacentral:rRNA from 1 species
GCAGUCGAGCGGACAGAUGGGAGCUUGCUCCCUGAUGUUAGCGGCGGCACGGGUGAGUAACACGUGGGUAACCUGCCUGUAAGACUGGGAUAACUCCGGGAAACCGGGGCUAAUACCGGAUGGUUGUUUGAACCGCAUGGUUCAAACAUAAAAGGUGGCUUCGGCUACCACUUACAGAUGGACCCGCGGCGCAUUAGCUAGUUGGUGAGGUAACGGCUCACCAAGGCAACGAUGCGUAGCCGACCUGAGAGGGUGAUCGGCCACACUGGGACUGAGACACGGCCCAGACUCCUACGGGAGGCAGCAGUAGGGAAUCUUCCGCAAUGGACGAAAGUCUGACGGAGCAACGCCGCGUGAGUGAUGAAGGUUUUCGGAUCGUAAAGCUCUGUUGUUAGGGAAGAACAAGUACCGUUCGAAUAGGGCGGUACCUUGACGGUACCUAACCAGAAAGCCACGGCUAACUACGUGCCAGCAGCCGCGGUAAUACGUAGGUGGCAAGCGUUGUCCGGAAUUAUUGGGCGUAAAGGGCUCGCAGGCGGUUUCUUAAGUCUGAUGUGAAAGCCCCCGGCUCAACCGGGGAGGGUCAUUGGAAACUGGGGAACUUGAGUGCAGAAGAGGAGAGUGGAAUUCCACGUGUAGCGGUGAAAUGCGUAGAGAUGUGGAGGAACACCAGUGGCGAAAGCGACUCUCUGGUCUGUAACUGACGCUGAGGAGCGAAAGCGUGGGGAGCGAACAGGAUUAGAUACCCUGGGUAGUCCACGCCGUAACGAUGAGUGCUAGGUGUUGAGGGGGGUUUCCGCCCCUUUAGUGCUGC